rnacentral:rRNA from 1 species
UACGGAGGGGGCUAGCGUUGUUCGGAAUCAUUGGGCGUAAAGGGCGCGUAGGCGGCCGAUUAAGUCGGAGGUGAAAUCCCUCGGCUCAACUGAGGAAUUGCCUUCGAUACUGUCCGGCUUGAGUCCUGGAGAGGGUAGCGGAAUUCCCGGUGUAGCGGUGAAAUGCGUAGAGACCGGGAAGAACACCAGUGGCGAAGGCGGCUACCUGGACAGGUACUGACGCUGAAGCGCGAAAGCUAGGGGAGCAAACAGG